AACCACUUUCCGUGAACUCAAGGAAGAAGAAGCACAACACGACACAACAACAUCCACUAAUCUUUCUCUCUCUAUAAUAAAGAGAAACCAAAAAAAGUCUCUUUAUAGUUUCUACAAUAGACAUUGACAUACAUACGGGCUUGUACCAUCUUCUUCAAGUGAACAUAUAGCCUCAUGGAUGAUAUUCCUGGGAGGUUGAAUGUAGUCCCUGAUCACUUUCAAGUAUCAACUUCUAGUGAGGACACUCCUCAAAACAUAACUUCAUCUAUCCAACGGCCCAGAAUUGAUAAUUCAUCCAGCUCAAAUAGUCGUUUCUGGUCUGGAAGAAAACUAAGUGCUGCAUUCAUGCUGAAUUUGUUUAACCUACAGAGGCUGUCAUGGGGUUCUAGCGCUGAUGGUCAGGAAAAGGUCAAGUUAUCCGUCACAGAGUUAGAAUCACUUCGAUCAGAACUUGCAUAUUUAGAAGAGAGGGAAGCUCACUUGAAAGCUCAGUUGGAACAUGUUGAUGAAGUUCUGCGCUCUGCUCGGUUCUCUGGUUAUUUGUACAUCCGAACUGUAGUGGAUUUCUCCAAAUUGCUUAUGUUACUUUCUUUUCAGUUCUUACUGCAAUCUUUUGUGCACCUAGCAGUAACAGGUUUUUUCCUCCUGUUCUCCCUCCUUUACAGAGAUGGACAGCUCUACCUGGGGAGCCGCCGCCACUUGAUGAUGCUGAUGUGGACGAUUGGCUUCCUCGCUUUGUUGUCCUUAAUGGACCAUGCAUCUUCUUCUAUUUGUUGUCCACAGAUUUCAGUCCUCAAGAUUCCACUCUACUUGCCGAUAUUGUUGAAGUAGGCUCUCUGCCAAGCUUUACACGGGAGCAUGAAGAGACAUUGUAUUCCUCAUAUAUCUUAACUCGUCAAGGUCUGAGAUAUGAGUGCUCAAGUGUUUCCGAAGUACAGGUUGAUUCAUGGCUAAAGGUAUUGCAAACUGACAUCAAGUUGGUUUCUGAGACAAAAGUUCCCUCAUGGUUCCAGUGAUGUGUAAAAUCUGCAUGUUUUUAACAGUAAGCUGUACAUUUGAAAAUUUAACUGUAAGCUUUAGAUAUAUGAAUAUCAGUUUGGUUAUGAUUUCUCUAACUCAUUCAUUGUGUUUCUGUACAGAACAAUUGAUAUACUUUAUUUGAGUUGUAGUUAAUGUUGUACCACUCAUUCUUGACAGAAUUAAAUUUAACAUGAAGUUACCAUUCU